CCUACGGGGGGCUGCAGUGGGGAAUAUUGGACAAUGGGGGCAACCCUGAUCCAGCCAUGCCGCGUGUGUGAAGAAGGCCCUCGGGUUGUAAAGCACUUCAGUGAGGAAGAACGCCUGGUGGUUAAUACCCAUCAGGAAAGACAUCACUCACAGAAGAAGCACCGGCUAACUCCGUGCCAGCAGCCGCGGUAAUACGGAGGGUGCGAGCGUUAAUCGGAAUUACUGGGCGUAAAGCGCGCGUAGGUGGCUUGAUAAGCCGGUUGUGAAAGCCCCGGGCUCAACCUGGGAACGGCAUCCGGAACUGUCAAGCUAGAGUGCAGGAGAGGAAGGUAGAAUUCCCGGUGUAGCGGUGAAAUGCGUAGAGAUCGGGAGGAAUACCAGUGGCGAAGGCGGCCUUCUGGACUGACACUGACACUGAGGUGCGAAAGCGUGGGUAGCAAACAGGAUUAGAUACCCUGGUAGGC
rnacentral:rRNA from 1 species